UUUAAGUUCUUAGUGAGGCUUGGCAUAGAAAACGAUACAGAGAAGAUUAGCAUGGCCCCUGUGCAAG